UUUUUUUUAAUAUUUUGUUACAAAUAGAUUAUAUAAAAUCCAAAUUUCAUUGACUAGAAAUAAAAUUCUGUUAGAACCUGGCCCUGCUCACUCACUACGUAUCACCUACGGCUGCUUUCACACGGCAAAGGCAGAGCUGAGUAAUUGUGACAGAGAUGGUCUGGCCCACAGAGCCUCAAAUCUUUACUAUCUGGGCUUUUACAGAAAAAAAGUCUAUCGUAUUGCCAAUCUGUACUAUCGCAUUGCCAAUAAGUACAGAAAUUGAGAGUAAGCCUUAGAAAUGCACAGAAAAUUGACCAAGGAAUUUUCUAUCUCUGAGUCAAAUACUUAAAAAUAGGCUACGUAGUCUGUAUGUCUUUGGGGUUUUCUAAAUUUUCAUUUUUCUAGUUAUUGAUUUUUAUUGGAUUUUAUUAAAGUAUCAGUUCAUGAUAAAAUGGAAACCUUAAAAAAAAACUGGUCCUUGAACACAAAUAGUUGUAGAAGCACUCAAGUAGUGAAUCAAUGUCUUUAGAAAAACAAAGGAGUGGAUCUUCUGGGACACAAGCAUCCUGAGAGCAGAGCUUUCAACUGCCUGUGCGCCUAUAUUUCUCAGCAUCUAGACAGUGCCUGGUACAGUGUAACAGGAACUCAAUAAAUGCUGGACAAAUAUACAAAUCCAAUACAACCCACUUCCUAACUCCAAUAUCACUCCCAAGGAUUGCUAUUUUCUAGGUUUGUUUUAUUUUUAUUUAUUUAUUUAUUUAUUUAGUCUUUUUAGGACCUCACCCGAGGUAUAUGAAGGUUCCCAGGCUAGGGGUCAAAUCGGAACUGUAGCCACUGGCCUAUGCCACAGCAAUGCCAGAUCAGAGCCACAUCUUCAAACUACACCACAGUUCACGGCAACGCCAGAUCCUUAACUGAAUGGACAAGGCCAGGAAUUGAACCUGCAUCUUCAUGGAUACUAGUCAGAUUUGUUUCUGCUGAGCCACGACAGGAACUCCCUGUUUUUAUUUUUAAUUUACUCUCAAAGGCAGUAUUUACAGCCGAAACUCUGGUCCCAGGCCUGGGUUGAAAUCCCAGCUUCACCUUUUACUAGCCAGGCUAUCUUUGGCAAGUCACUCAACCUUUCUCUAACUCUUCAAGUAUCAAAUGGGGAUAACAGUAGAGUCUAUAGAGUUAUUAGGACAGUAAUCUGAGUUGAUAUUAAUAUAAAUUACUUAGAAGGGUGCCAUGAACACAGAAAGAACUCAAUAAAUUCAUGUAUUAUUAUUAUUGUACAUAUCUGUAAAGUAUGCAUAUGCGCGAAGUGGUCACAAAACUUUCUCGUAUUAGCUGCCCAAGAUAGCAUGCAGUGCUCUUUAUCUUUUUAAGGUAAAGCAUUUUAUAUUCCUGCCAAAUGUAAUGUCUCCAGCUUUUUAAAAACAAUCUCUCUAGGUCAUCAGAUACUUUUAGCAAAUAUGAUUUUUCAUGAAUCUGUGAAGUAUUUCCCAUAAAUUUGCUUAGUACAGCCCAAAGGUUUGACUAAACAUCUAUAAAUGUAGCCCAAGAAUUGGUACAAGUAAUAUGAAGAAAAUUUCAAUUCUAGGAGUUCCCACUGUGGCUCAGCAGAAACAAAUCCACCUAGUAUCCAUGAGGACACAGUAAAUUCACAAUUGUCUGUUAAAACCCAUGUCUCCUCCCUUACACUGUGAUGUAGUCCCAUUUUCAAGAAUUUUUCACUGCAAAAAGCUAUUUGUGUUGUCCACACUAAUGAGUUAGUAGUUGCAAGGAAAAAUAUUAGUUGAUUAGAUCCAAGAAGCUUUUUAUAUUGUUGUUGAUACGUAAUGCAGAAUAAAAUAUAAUGGGGAAAAUCUUCCUCUUAGGAACUCUGCAGAUUACAGGCUAGUGGAGCAAAGCAAAUCUGGUUGUUUUUAGUAGAAGGAAGGCUUUGGAGACAGGCUGACAAGGCUGACCAGCCAGGAAACCCUGAUGAGUGUCAGGACAUCACACCAUUAACUAGGGAGCUGGUGUUGAACAUAGGCUUGGUGUACAAGGCAUCCUCAUUUAACAAAACAAAUAAAAAAGGCAUCCAUAAAGAGGGACUACUAUCUAAAUGCAGAGUGUUUAAUCAUCGCAAAAUAAAUCUAUGAGAAUAUUUUUUACAAACACAAAAAAAUUUCAAUUAAGGAUGACUGGAGACAACAUCAAUUUCAAUCAGCAUCUAUGAAAUUCAGACAAAAAAUUUUCAGAGCCCUAAUCCAUGUCAGAUAAACCCCCGGGGUUUUGUGCAACGUAGUUUAAAAACUUAGUCAAUUAAAAAUUUAUUACUACCUGUUGCAUGUCCUAUCUAUAUUUAAAUAUUUCUCUCUAUGGGGGUAUUUGGUUAGUUUCUAUUUUUCUCCAUGUAAACAAUGCUGUAAUCAGUUCCCUCGUAUAUACAUUUUGGUAUAAUUCUUUGGUUGUUUCCUUAAAAUAAAUUCCUAGAAAUGCUGGGUCAAAGCACAGAAACAGUUUUGAAGUUUUGAUAGAUAUUGCCAAAAUGCUCUCCAGAUAUUCAAAUAUCAGCUUAAGAUUUCUAGCUCAAGAGAAUUCC
rnacentral:lncRNA from 1 species